UUCUAGCAGAGUUGUCACUUGAUGAAAAGUAGUGUGAUGGGACCACCAAUCUGGGGCAGAUGUCCUAGCAUGGCUUAGAGUGGAGAUCCAGGAAGCAGGAGGACCAGGCCUAUGGUAACAUCUCCGUUUUCAGAAGCUCAGAAAAGUAAGCUGCUUGCUCAAGAAUGGACGGCUUCAAGGUGGCAGAGCUGGAAGUUUCUAACUCACUCACCUCAUACUCAGACCUGCACUGUUUUUCAAGACAGUCAAUAUUUCAGGCCAUCUACUGAUUGGAUGAGGCCCACCAGCAUUCUGAAAGACAAGGAAUCUGAGACCUGGCUGGGAGAAGAGGACUUGCCUAAAGUUAUCCCACACAGCAAAUUAGUUGGAAAACCAGGAUAGUUGAGUAAAUAUCCUGGAGCCCAGCCAAGUAAUGAAGCCAGAAUUCAGAAAGCUGUUUUGGCUAGAUCUUGGAUUUUUACAAUAAAGGGUCUGUAAGGGAUAUUUGUGAAAAAUGUUGACACUUGACGGCUGUCCUGAUUCAUUCAGCUACCUAGGUUAUCUCUGCCUCUCUUUGACUUGUGUUUUGUCUUUUAAGAUGGCAGUCUUGCUCUUUUGCCUGGGCUGGUCUUGAACUCCUGGGCUCAAGCAGUUUUCCUGCUUUAGCCUCCUGAGUAGCUGGGGCUACAGGAGGACAUCACUGUGCCCAGCUCUCUCCGUAUCUUUGACUAGGUUAUUUUACAACCCCAUACGAUAGAAAUGAAGUUAUAGAAAACUGAUAGGAAUACAAAUAAUUAUUAUCCAUGGAAAUGCAAAUUGGAUCUAAUGGAAUGAAACUGAUUUUUUUUCCAGCAGAUAGUGACCACCUUUGUAUCCUUUUGUAAAUUCAUUUCAGCAUUCCAUAUUUGACUAAAAAUGUGUGACACUCCCAAUUUGCUUUUGAAUUCAUUGUAAUAUCUACCAAUUCCCUCAUUAAUUAAUGAGUUAAAUAAAGCCUUUGGCAUGUAUUUAUUUUGUAUCUAUAGGAGAGUCAUGAGUAUAUCUUCUUUUAAAAGGUAUUCUUCAGUAGGUCUUAGGGUGCACAAUACUUACAUCUUAUUUUCUCAUUCUACACUGUUCCCACACCUCACCCAGAAUAAAUGUAAUCUCCUGUGAGCUUCUGAACAUCAUGAAGAAUAACAGCUCAUUUUGUAAAGUCAUUUAGUAUUCG
rnacentral:lncRNA from 1 species